CCUACGGGAGGCAGCAGUGGGGAAUAUUGGACAAUGGGGGCAACCCUGAUCCAGCCACGCCGCGUGUGUGAAGAAGGCCCUCGGGUUGUAAAGCACUUUCAGUGAGGAAGAACGCCUGGUGGUUAAUACCCAUCAGGAAAGACAUCACUCACAGAAGAAGCACCGGCUAACUCCGUGCCAGCAGCCGCGGUAAUACGGAGGGUGCGAGCGUUAAUCGGAAUUACUGGGCGUAAAGCGCGCGUAGGUGGCUUGAUAAGCCGGUUGUGAAAGCCCCGGGCUCAACCUGGGAACGGCAUCCGGAACUGUCAAGCUAGAGUGCAGGAGAGGAAGGUAGAAUUCCCGGUGUAGCGGUGAAAUGCGUAGAGAUCGGGAGGAAUACCAGUGGCGAAGGCGGCCUUCUGGACUGACACUGACACUGAGGUGCGAAAGCGUGGGUAGCAAACAGGAUUAGAUACCCGAGUAGUC
rnacentral:rRNA from 1 species